UACGGAGGAUCCAAGCGUUAUCCGGAUUUAUUGGGUUUAAAGGGUGCGUAGGCGGAUUGAUAAGUUAGAGGUGAAAUGUCCGAGCUCAACUCGGGAACUGCCUCUAAUACUGUUGAUCUAGAGAGUAGGUGCGGUAGGCGGAAUGUAUGGUGUAGCGGUGAAAUGCUUAGAGAUCAUACAGAACACCGAUUGCGAAGGCAGCUUACCAAUCUAUAUCUGACGUUGAGGCACGAAAGCGUGGGGAGCAAACAGG
rnacentral:rRNA from 1 species